UACCAGCUCUCCGAGUGGUGUGGAUGUUUAUUGGGCCUAAAGCAUCCGUAGCUGGCUGGGCAAGUCCCCUGUUAAAUCCACCGAUUCAAUCGUUGGAGUGCGGGGGAUACUGCUCGGCUAGGGGACGGGAGAGGCCGACGGUAUUUUCGGGGUAGGGGUGAAAUCCUAUAAUCCCGGAAAGACCACCAGUGGCGAAGGCUGUCGGCUAGAACGCGCCCGACGGUGAGGGAUGAAAGCUGGGGGAGCGAACCGGAUUAGAUACCCGGGUAGUCCCAGCUGUAAACGAUGCAGGCUAGGUGUUCGGGCGGCCACGUGCCGCUCUAGUGCCGCAGGGAAGUCGUUAAGCCUGCCGCCUGGGGAGUACGGCCGCAAGGCUGAAACUUAAAGGAAUUGGCGGGGAGCACACAAGGGGUGAAGCUUGCGGUUU
rnacentral:rRNA from 1 species